GCCUAACACAUGCAAGUCGAACGGCAGCAUAAGAGAGCUUGCUCUCUUGAUGGCGAGUGGCGGACGGGUGAGUAAUGUAUAGGGAUCUGCCUGACAGUGGGGGACAACAGCCGGAAACGGCUGCUAAUACCGCAUACGCUCUACGGAGGAAAGUGGGGGACCUUCGGGCCUCACGCUGACAGAUGAACCUAUAUCAGAUUAGCUAGUUGGUGGGGUAAAGCCCUACCAAGGCAACGAUC
rnacentral:rRNA from 1 species